rnacentral:rRNA from 1 species
GAGUUUGAUCGUGGCUCAGGACGAACGCUGGCGGCGUGCCUAAUACAUGCAAGUCGAGCGGACAGAAGGGAGCUUGCUCCCGGAAGUCAGCGGCGGACGGGUGAGUAACACGUAGGUAACCUGCCCCUUAGACUGGGAUAACUCCGGGAAACCGGAGCUAAUACGGGAUAAUAGUGAGAAUUACCUGAUUCUCGCUUGAAAGACGGCUUCGGCUGUCACUAAGGGGAUGGGCCUGCGGCGCAUUAGCUAGUUGGUAAGGUAACGGCUUACCAAGGCGACGAUGCGUAGCCGACCUGAGAGGGUGAUCGGCCACACUGGGACUGAGACACGGCCCAGACUCCUACGGGA